rnacentral:lncRNA from 1 species
UUAUAUUGGAGCAGGCCAUUUGCAGAGCCUGCUAGCUUAGGGAAAGUGCACUUUUUACCCUUAGCUCUGUCGUAAGGUUCCAGGCAAAAUGUGUUUGCUCGCAUCUCCCGGUCCCUAACGAGUGGGUUUUCAUAUGUCAAAGAGCCACACACGGAUUAACGCAAUUGGAAGGAACUGUUCUGAAGAAGAGGCCCAAGAGGAAGUUGCCAUGGAGAUGAGGAGGCUAAACACUACUGUACUUGUGACCUCCGCCAGGCUGAUUUCUCCAAAUGACAGUGGAGGUCGUGGGGGCACACGGGGGAGCUGGUUCUGCCCAUCGCUGCUCUGCAUCCAGCCCUGGGUGCUAGGUGGGACAUCCAGCUGGGGACCACAGCUGAGGAACUGACUCCAACAAUGCCAGUCGCUUUCAGAGUUACUACAGUGAAAAUAAGGAUGCCCAUGAAUGUCUAAUUUAUAAAACCAAAAUCAGAGGGCCAGCUUACUUUUGGACUUUUAAUCUGAAAAGCAAACAGAAGCCAACAAGAUGGCAGGUACAGCUUUUCUUCUGGCUGUUUAGUACUAACCUUUCAAUUGCACGCACUGCUUUCUGAUUCUACUUCACAGUUAAAGCAAAAGGAGAUAAGUAACUUUCACUGAAAGCUAGAGCAGCAGAUUUGCCUUACAAAAAAAAAAAAACAUUCCUUAGUAUAACAGUGAGGUAUUAUACGUUAUUUACUCAUCCUUCAAAUGUUGCGUUCAUCUGUUUUUCCAUAUAUUUAUUAUGGAUCUGCUAACAUUCCUUCAUUACAUUGAUUAUGGGAAAGUAAAUGGGAAACUGACUGCAGUUUGACUCAUAAAAUCUUCUCCUUGAUUAUUCUUUAUUAUCUCUACACAAAACGAAAUACAUAUCUUACAUGAAUUUUAACAUAAUCAUACAACAAUAUAAACGUCUUGCUUAAAGUUGUUUGAAAGCUUGGUUGUACAUAUGAAAAAAGAUCCAAAUAUGAUCUGUACUUCAAAAAAAAUCCUCAGCUCUGUGGUUUAAACCAGUUCACUAGUUAUGGUAUCCAUAAGGUGGCUGGUUCAGGCAGCAGGUAUAUCACACAGGAACUGCUACUAAGCAAUUAAUUUUCUUUACUGGGAUUUGUUUUUUAUUUGUUUUUUUUAUUUUGGGUUUUUUUUUUCUUUUUUAUUUUUACAAAACACUUCCACUUUCAUGUUUCAGUGGUUAAUUGCACUUCGGAUUAAAAAAAAAUAAAGAUAAAAUUCAUCCUCCCA